rnacentral:rRNA from 1 species
GUGACCUCAAAUCAGGUAGGACUACCCGCUGAACUUAAGCAUAUCAAUAAGCGGAGGAAAAGAAACUAACAAGGAUUCCCCUAGUAACUGCGAGUGAAGCGGGAAGAGCUCAAAUUUAAAAUCUGGCAGUCUUUGGCUGUCCGAGUUGUAAUCUAGAGAAGCAUUAUCCGCGCUGGACCGUGUACAAGUCUCCUGGAAUGGAGCGUCAUAGAGGGUGAGAAUCCCGUCUUUGACACGGACUGCCAGGGCUUUUGUGAUGUGCUCUCAAAGAGUCGAGUUGUUUGGGAAUGCAGCUCAAAAUGGGUGGUAAAUUCCAUCUAAAGCUAAAUAUUGGCGAGAGACCGAUAGCGAACAAGUACCGUGAGGGAAAGAUGAAAAGAACUUUGGAAAGAGAGUUAAACAGUACGUGAAAUUGCUGAAAGGGAAACGCUUGAAGUCAGUCGCGUUGUCCAGGGAUCAACUCUUGCUUUUGCUUGGUGUAUUUUCUGGUUAACGGGUCAGCAUCAAUUUUGACUAUUGGAAAAAGAUCAAGGGAAUGUGGCAUCUUUAGAUGUGUUAUAGCCCUUGGUUGCAUACAUUAGUUGGGAUUGAGGAACUCAGCACGCCGAAAGGCCGAGUGUUUAAC